AGUUCUAUGCCUGAUAAAAGGAGUAAAUUGUAAAUUUAUAUAUGAAGUUGAUUUUCUAGGACUA
rnacentral:tRNA from 1 species